CAGAGGAAGAAGGAUUCAGAGGCCAGACAGACAGUCGCAUGUGUUGUGGGCAGGGCCAAUAGUACUCAGCUACCUGUGCCAUCUUUGUGAGGAAGCAGUCGAUGAAGUCCCGGGGAGAGUUGGGGUCCAGGGAAUCCUGGUGUUCGCGGACGCUGCGGGCAAUGAGAUCUUUCAUGCCUCCAAAGUUCCGGAACAAGCGUUUGUGUGGCCCAGGAACUUGAUGUACUGUGAAGACUGGCCAUGAACUCAUGAUCCUCUUGUCUCAACCUUCUGAGUGCUAAUGAAUUUUUUAGAGAGAUGAGCAUACCCAAGGGUCUUGGAACUGUAGAAAACUGUGAUUUUGUAGAAAACUGUGAUUUUGUUUGAACUUUGUAUUGCUGACAUAGAACUGAGGUCUUAUGCACACUAGGCAAGAACUUUGCCACUGAGCCACACCCCCAGCCCCUCACUGGAGGAUUCUAGCCAGGGGCUCUACCACUGAGCCACACCCCAGCCCCUCACUGGGGGAUUCUAGGCAGGGGCUCUCCCACUGAGCCACACCCCCAGCCCCUCACUGGGGGAUUCUAGGCAGAGGCUCUACUAUUGAACUAUGCCCCCAACCACCUCCUGUGGGAUUCUAGGAAGGUGUUCUACCUUCUUAAUUAUAAAUCCCAUAAGAAAUAAAAUGAUCAACCCCCAAAGAUAUUUAGUUUUAAUUAUGUGUGUGCACAUACAUGUGUGUGGAUGCCCGGAGGCCAGAGGGUGUUGGAUCCUCUGAAGGUGGAGUUAUAGGAAGUUGUGAACUACGACGUGAGUUCUGGGAACUGAACUGAAAUCCUCUGCAGGAGCAAGAAGUGCUCUUAAUCACAGAGCCAUCUCUCUAGUCCUCUUUCCCCUCGCCCCCUGACAUUUUUUAUUUUUGAAACAAGGCCUCAUGUAGCAUAGGCUGGUGAAGGUGGAGUUAUAGGAAGUUGUGAACUACGACGUGAGUUCUGGGAACUGAACUGAAAUCCUCUGCAGGAGCAAGAAGUGCUCUUAAUCACAGAGCCAUCUCUCUAGUCCUCUUUCCCCUCGCCCCCUGACAUUUUUUAUUUUUGAAACAAGGCCUCAUGUAGCAUAGGCUGGUUUCAAACUCACUAUUUAUCCAAGAAUGAUCUUGAAGUCUUGGCCCUCCUGCCUCCACCUCCUGAAUUCUGGAAUUACAGCACCUCCAGCAGGAAGCUGCCUUCUUCCAGGAUCCGCUCCUCGAUGCUUCUUUUUCCCAUGCCAAAGUUCCGCAGGAUUUGGACAGAGAACCUUCUGAGGAUCUUCCAGCGCUCUCCAUCGGAGAAGGCGAUGCCUGGGAAGAGGAAAAGGAACGGCAAAUCCAACUGGCAACCAUUCCCAAAUCACAGCCACCGAGUCAUCUCUUCCUGCUCCAUCAGGAGGGGGAUUCUAAACUGACUCCGCAGUUCUUCCAGCAAAUCCUUCCCGACUCUUGGGACUGGACCAGGAGCCUGCUUUGGGCUCCACAGGACUCUGGGCUUUCCACUGAUCAUGCUGACUCUGUAUUCCCUUGUAACGACCUGUCACUUUGAGGUGUCAGAAGGCAGAGUAAAGACACAUUUUGUGUCAAAAUGACCUUUGAAUUGUCAUCAGACUUUGUUGAUUGUUUAUUGAUUAUUGAGUGCACAAAUAAGAUAUGUAAAUAAGAAAAAUAAAUAUUGGGACA
rnacentral:lncRNA from 1 species